rnacentral:lncRNA from 1 species
UAGGUUCGUAUUUAUACCGUUAAUUUGAUUAUCAUUUGUUAAUUACUCGUUGAGCUAUCAUUAACAAACAAAUUAUCUCCAUCUGUGUCCUGGAGGUCCAGGAUUACUUUGAGAACCAAACCCUUAUUAUUGGGCUUGUUUCUCAAGAGAAUGGCAGUAUCUCCACUUGUAUCCUGGAAGUCCAGGGUUUGAGUCAGUAUCCUUAAAAUGUUGGUUAAGAACCUAAUAAUUCCCUUUCCCAGGACCCCACAACAAGUGGGAGCUUUUGAUUCUGGGAUAACCUUUGGUUAUAUUUUUGAGAGUGAAAUAUAUAUCAUUCUCCUUUUCACUAAAGCUUCUGCAUCAAAUGUUUUGAAGAACUCUGGCACGUCCUACCUGCAAAGAAAUAUUUCUUUUAUUUUUACACGCAGUCACAUUUUUUUUGGCUGUGGUUCCUUAAGUUCUACGGUUUAUAGUUGUUCACUGGUUUGCUACUCAGAAGUAGUUUUGGCUCCUUUGCACUAAAGCUUCUGCAUCAAAUGUUUUGAAGAACUCUGGCACGUCCUACCUGCAAAGAAAUAUUUCUUUUAUUUUUACACGCAGUCACAUUUUUUUGGUUGUGGUUCCUUAAGUUCUACGGUUUAUAGUUGUUCACUGGUUUGCUACUCAGAAGUAGUUUUGGCUUGCAUCUAUUCUGUUAUUGAUUUGUAUAUUGUGAGUUUCAUACCAUUGUCUUUGUGUCUGUAUGUAAAUUUCAGAUAUGUCUUGUGUGCAUGUGCUGGCAGUGUGUAUGUAAUGGCUGUGUAUAUGAAAUCAUGUAAAUUUCACGUCUGCUAUGUAGGUUCAUACCAUUGUCUUUGUGCAUGGAUGUAAGUUCCAGAUCUGGAUGUAAAUUUCAGAUAUGUGAUACCUGGAGGGCGGAUCUUGUACGCCGUUGAAGCUGGCGCCACGUCCUGGACCUGUCCAGCGUCAGGUCCAGAAGGGGAUCCGCGCCGGCGCAAUG